AUAAGCGUCGGUAAGGUGAUAUGAACCGUUAUAACCGGCGAUUUCCGAAUGGGGAAACCCAGUGUGAUUCGUCACACUAUCAUUAACUGAAUCCAUAGGUUAAUGAGGCGAACCGGGGGAACUGAAACAUCUAAGUACCCCGAGGAAAAGAAAUCAACCGAGAUUCCCCCAGUAGCGGCGAGCGAACGGGGAGCAGCCCAGAGCCUGAAUCAGUGUGUGUGUUAGUGGAAGCGUCUGGAAAGGCGCGCGAUACAGGGUGACAGCCCCGUACACAAAAAUGCACAUACUGUGAGCUCGAUGAGUAGGGCGGGACACGUGGUAUCCUGUCUGAAUAUGGGGGGACCAUCCUCCAAGGCUAAAUACUCCUGACUGACCGAUAGUGAACCAGUACCGUGAGGGAAAGGCGAAAAGAACCCCGGCGAGGGGAGUGAAAAAGAACCUGAAACCGUGUACGUACAAGCAGUGGGAGCACGCUUCGGCGUGUGACUGCGUACCUUUUGUAUAAUGGGUCAGCGACUUAUAUUCUGUAGCAAGGUUAACCGAAUAGGGGAGCCGAAGGGAAACCGAGUCUUAACUGGGCGUUAAGUUGCAGGGUAUAGACCCGAAACCCGGUGAUCUAGCCAUGGGCAGGUUGAAGGUUGGGUAACACUAACUGGAGGACCGAACCGACUAAUGUUGAAAAAUUAGCGGAUGACUUGUGGCUGGGGGUGAAAGGCCAAUCAAACCGGGAGAUAGCUGGUUCUCCCCGAAAGCUAUUUAGGUAGCGCCUCGUGAAUUCAUCUCCGGGGGUAGAGCACUGUUUCGGCAAGGGGGUCAUCCCGACUUACCAACCCGAUGCAAACUGCGAAUACCGGAGAAUGUUAUCACGGGAGACACACGGCGGGUGCUAACGUCCGUCGUGAAGAGGGAAACAACCCAGACCGCCAGCUAAGGUCCCAAAGUCAUGGUUAAGUGGGAAACGAUGUGGGAAGGCCCAGACAGCCAGGAUGUUGGCUUAGAAGCAGCCAUCAUUUAAAGAAAGCGUAAUAGCUCACUGGUCGAGUCGGCCUGCGCGGAAGAUGUAACGGGGCUAAACCAUGCACCGAAGCUGCGGCAGCGACACUAUGUGUUGUUGGGUA
rnacentral:rRNA from 1 species